GGCCCAGACUCCUACGGGAGGCAGCAGUGGGGGAUAUUGCACAAUGGGCGAAAGCCUGAUGCAGCGACGCCGCGUGAGGGAAGACGGCUUUCGGAUUGUAAACCUCUGUCGAGGGGGACGAAGGAAGUGACGGUACCCCUUGAGGAAGCCACGGCUAACUACGUGCCAGCAGCCGCGGUAAUACGGAGGAUGCGAGCGUUAUCCGGAUUUAUUGGGUUUAAAGGGAGCGUAGGCCGGCUUUUAAGUCAGCUGUGAAAGUCCGCGGCUCAACCGUGGAAUUGCAGUUGAAACUGGAGGCCUUGAGUGCACACAGGGAUGCCGGAAUUCAUGGUGUAGCGGUGAAAUGCUUAGAUAUCAUGAAGAACUCCGAUCGCGAAGGCAAGUGUCCGGGGUGCAACUGACGCUGAGGCUCGAAAGUGCGGGUAUCAAACAGGAUUAGAUACCCUUGUA
rnacentral:rRNA from 1 species